UACGUAGGGUGCAAGCGUUAAUCGGAAUUACUGGGCGUAAAGCGUGCGCGGGCGGUUUUGUAAGUCUGUCGUGAAAUCCCCGGGCUCAACCUGGGAAUUGCGAUGGAGACUGCAAGGCUAGAAUCUGGCAGAGGGGGGUAGAAUUCCGCGUGUAGCAGUGAAAUGUGUAGAGAUGUGGAGGAAUACCGAUGGCGAAGGCAGCCCCCUGGGUCAAUACUGACGCUCAUGCACGAAAGCGUGGGGAGCAAACAGG
rnacentral:rRNA from 1 species